CCGCGGAAAGUUGUGUCAGCAUAUCUGUGGACCUUGCCCCGUCCACAUUCCGCAGAGAUGAUAAAGAACCAGUUCUUUCAGUUUUUGUACACUCUUGUAGCCCUUUCCGUGCGUCCCGGACAGGGAGGGGAACCUUCUGAUGUCUGACAGCUGCUUCCCUAACUUCAGAAGCACCAAGUUUCCCCUCCUCCCUCCAGCCCAGGGCUGCUGCCUUCCCAGGAGGCCUCUCGGCUCACGGGGUCCAUGAACUUCUGGCGCACUUGCCCCAGCCAUCCCCCAGACAGACCUGGGUUCUGCGGUGAAUAUACCUCCAGCUCAGCUGGACUCCUGCUUUCACAGAGUGCGCUGACAGGCACAGCUCACGGAGUCCUCAUUCCUCUUGUUCAUCUCCAAGACCACUGGAGGCUCAGAGAAUUCAGGCGCUGGGGUUUGGACCCAGGACUUCGUGCAUGCUAAGCAUGCACUCUACCACUGAGCUACACCUUCCCCAUCAAGCUGAGUUCUAGAUGGCUGGAAACAUUCAUGAAGAGCACGGAGGAAAAUCUCAUACCUUCUAGUGUGGUGUAUACACUGCAGAGGAAGUGAGUUUCAAUUCAUCAGUAAACGGGAAGGACCCUCCGCCCUGGAUGAGGUCGCGGGAUUAGGAAGCUGGAGGUGGGUAAGGAUGAGCCCAAGAGUCCUGAAGGUGGCACUGCAGAGGCUGAGGACGAGAAGGAAAGACUCCAGGCAUCCAGGGUGAACCUCGCAGACUCCGACACCCCCCCAGGACCAGCCGUGUUGACUUCAGAAGGGACAGAGACCAGCAGAGACCGCACCGGAGUAUUUCCAACAUGCGGCUGGAAGCAAGCAGCUCUGCCUCGGACGAUUUAUGAAGAUGUUUUGUUUUUGUUUUUGAACAUAGUUAACUUGGAAUAAAUGAGCCUUGUUCCUGAAGAAUUUCUAAUCAAGGUAUCGCUGCAUAAAAACAGCUUUUAGCCUCAAGGAACUUAUUGCCUUGUUUGAAAGACAGAGCACACCCACCGAGAAUAGAUGAGAAAGCAGUAAAUAAAGCGGCCAGAUGCUGGGUGUGGACAAUUAAGAGGUCACCGGAAAAUUUAUAAUGCAGUAUAUGUGAUGGAGGGCAAGCCAGGUUUCUGUCAAAGUCUCUUUUGGAUUUCCAAACGAAAAAAGGUUUGCUGUCCUUAAUCUCCUGCUGCAUUGAUCUGGCUUUAAAUCAGAAGCCGCCCUCAAUUGUGGUUAUGAGAAUUCAGAGAAGAGACGCGUCAGUGUGGGCUGGAGUGCCUGGGAUGGGUCUUGGGGGAGGGUUUGAGCUGGGCUUUGAAGGAUGAGUAUAAUUUAGUCCGAAGUGUGAACAUUCUGGGAAGAAGAGUGGACCAGGAGGGGGGCCAAAAAAGUGGGGCAGGUGACUGGCAGGGAGGCAGCAACCAUGCAGAUGUGCAGACAGCUGUGGGGACGGCCCCUGGAUGGAGGCCGUAUGUAGCUGGAGACUGACUCACAGACCAAUGUUCUGAACUUGAUCCAACAGGCAUUGGAGGAUGGGGUGUGUGAGAGACUAAAAGCAGCAUUUUAGGGUUUUAAAAAAGAUUAAUUUAAAAGGUGACUUCAGGAUGUACUGGGGUUACACGCCUGUGAGAGCAGACUGCUGGGGGGUGGGGUGGGCCUGCACUUGCGUAGGCUCUCCGAGAGAGGCGUUCUCAAGGAUAAGAUGGGGAGACGCAGCCACUGUCUCCACGGGUGAGGAUGUUUCUGGAGGGAGGACCAUGGUGGGUGGACUUCAGGGAGAAGUUCUGCUGACUUCUUCGGCCCAUUUAAGAGGCACAUGCUUUGUGCCAGGCACUGUUCUAGGAGCUUGGGUUACAACAGGGGACACAAGGGGCUCAGGUGGGCGGCCCCACAGAGCCCAGACUGGAUGGAGAUGAGAGAAUUAGCCAGUGAGCACCUGGCAGAGGGCAUUCCAAGCAGGAGCCAGAGCAGCCAAUGCACCCCCAGGGCUUGUCUGGCCUGCGGGGUGAACAGAGCGAGGCCAGUGUGGCUGGAGCAAACUGAGAGUGAGGGGAAAGAGGUCAGAGAUGGGUCAAAGGUCACAGCAAAUUGAGAGUGUGGGACCCCAGGGGCGACCAUAAGCUCUUGGCUUCUACUCUGAGUGGAACGGAAUCUGGGGCAGGAGAGAGACAUGAUGGAUGCUGAGAUUCGAUUCCUGGGUGCAGGGCAGGUCCAGAAAGACCUUUCAGGAAGGAACUGAAACAGGAUGGUGGCUCAGACCGCAGUGGGAACACCAGAGGAGGUGAGAAGGGUCAGCCUCGGGUGAUUUGAGGGGAGAACCAAGGAGACUGCCUGCAGGUGGAAAGUGGGGGAAUGGGAGAAAGAAGGAAGCUAAGGUGGACCCCAAGGACUCUGCCCUGAGCUGCCCGCAGCAGAGGAGGGAAGGUGGUAGGUAGGGCCACUUGAGCUAUACCCACCGAGAAAUGAUCAGGAGUUGGUUGUAGGGUGCGUUGGUUUAAAAAGGUUUUUUUAGAGGGGGACUUAAUUCAGCAUAUUUAUUUUUAGAGGAGGGACUGGGGAUUGAACCCAGGACCUCAUGCAUGCUAUGCACAUGCUCAUACCACUUGAGCUACACCCUCCCCCUAGGGUAUGUUGAUUUUGAGAUCUCUCAUGGGCUCCCAGAGGAAGACAUCAAGUAGCGGUGGGACGUGUGUCGGGAUUUGAGGAAGCGGUGUGAGCUGGAGAUGGACGGGUGAGUCCUGGGCACAGGGGGACGGCUGAGAACACCCAGGAAGCCAGUGGGGUGGGGAACAGGUGGUCACGGACCGAGCUCUGGACUCUCUAAAGUUCCUUAAAAGUGAAAUGCAAUAGAAUACAGCUGAAAAUCUAACAGCAAAUAAAAACAGAGAGGAUGGGAAGGGGGAAGUGGAAGGAGAGAAUUUAGUGAACUCCUUGGAGUUUUGCAGCAAAGAGGAGCAAAGAAAUGGGGUGAUGGGAGAGUCAGGAGUCCGGACACUAACAGUGUGUUUGGUGACGGAGGGUUUGUAAGGGAAAUUGGACUGGGAGGCAAGGUGACCAGCCAUCUCCGUGAGAAUGUCGGCCACGGUCUACUGAUCAGGCCCAGCUGAGGACAGCGUUAUGCUGCUGAAGUCAUUGGUGCCUACUCCGCUGGGGCAGUGGGGCGGGAGGAAGGAGGUUAAAAAUGAAUGGAGAGAAAGAGAAAUGCCAUAUUGAUAUCAUUUAUAGAUGGAAUCUAAAAA